rnacentral:rRNA from 1 species
UUAGAGUUUGAUCCUAGCUCAGGAUGAACGCUGGCGGCGUGGAUAAGGCAUGCAAGUCGAACGAAUUUUCUAAAAUCGGAGAUGCGAUUAUAUCAAGUCAAAGUUUUUAAAAAAUUAGUGGCGAACGAGGUAGUAAUACAUAGGAACUUUCCCCAAGGUCGUGAAUAAUCCGUCGAAAGACGGACUAAUACACGAUGGUAUCCGACUUUGGUCGGAUUAAAGAUUUAUCGCCUUGGGAAAGGCCUGUGCGGUAUCAGCUAGUUGGCGGUGUAAUAGACCACCAAGGCGGACGCCUAGGGGAGCUGAGAGGCUGACCCCCACCGAUGGUACUGAGACACGGACCAUACACCUACGGGUGGCUGCAGUCGAGAAUCUUCCACAAUGGACGAAAGUCUGAUGGAGCGACGCCGCGUGAUUGAUGAAGUCCCUCUGGGACGUAAAGAUCUUUUAUGAGGGAAGAAGUUUAUUGACGGUACCUCAUGAAUAAGAGGCUCCCAAUCUCGUGCCAGCAGGAGCGGUAAUACGAGAGCCUCGAGCGUUAUCCGGAAUUAUUGGGCGUAAAGGGUGCGUAGGUUGUUCUGUUAGUCUUUUGUCAAAUUCCCGAGCUUAACUUGGGACCCGCAAAAGAAACGGCAGGACUUGAAAGUGUGAGAGGCGUACGGAACUCAUGGUGUAGGGGUGAAAUCCGUUGAUAUCAUGGGGAACACCAAAUGCGAAGGCAGUACG